ACUUAAUUGUUCGGGCAUUGCAUGAGCUUGUCAUUGAACCUUUUCCAUAACUCAUAUAAGGGCUCACCACCAAGUUAAGAAAAAUUUAUGAUUUCAUCUCUUAGUU
rfam:Capsicum annuum cultivar Zunla-1 chromosome 5, whole genome shotgun sequence